GGGGAAUAUUGCACAAUGGGCGAAAGCCUGAUGCAGCAACGCCGCGUGAGUGAUGAAGGCCUUCGGGUUGUAAAGCUCUGUCUUCUGGGACGAUAAUGACGGUACCAGAGGAGGAAGCCACGGCUAACUACGUGCCAGCAGCCGCGGUAAUACGUAGGUGGCAAGCGUUGUCCGGAUUUACUGGGCGUAAAGGAUGCGUAGGCGGAUACUUAAGUCAGAUGUGAAAAUCCCGGGCUUAACUUGGGAACUGCAUUUGAAACUGGGAAUCUAGUGCGGGAGAGGAAAGUGGAAUUCCUACUGUAGCGGUGAAAUGCGUAGAGAUUAGGAAGAACACCAGUGGCGAAGGCGACUUUCUGGACCGUAACUGACGCUGAGGCAUGAAAGCGUGGGGAGCAAACA
rnacentral:rRNA from 1 species